CGAGCGACGGACGAGAAGCUUGCUUCUCUGAUGUUAGCGGCGGACGGGUGAGUAACACGUGGAUAACCUACCUAUAAGACUGGGAUAACUUCGGGAAACCGGAGCUAAUACCGGAUAAUAUUUUGAACCGCAUGGUUCAAAAGUGAAAGACGGUCUUGCUGUCACUUAUAGAUGGAUCCGCGCUGCAUUAGCUAGUUGGUAAGGUAACGGCUUACCAAGGCAACGAUGCAUAGCCGACCUGAGAGGGUGAUCGGCCACACUGGAACUGAGACACGGUCCAGACUCCUACGGGAGGCAGCAGUAGGGAAUCUUCCGCAAUGGGCGAAAGCCUGACGGAGCAACGCCGCGUGAGUGAUGAAGGUCUUCGGAUCGUAAAACUCUGUUAUUAGGGAAGAACAUAUGUGUAAGUAACUGUGCACAUCUUGACGGUACCUAAUCAGAAAGCCACGGCUAACUACGUGCCAGCAGCCGCGGUAAUACGUAGGUGGCAAGCGUUAUCCGGAAUUAUUGGGCGUAAAGCGCGCGUAGGCGGUUUUUUAAGUCUGAUGUGAAAGCCCACGGCUCAACCGUGGAGGGUCAUUGGAAACUGGAAAACUUGAGUGCAGAAGAGGAAAGUGGAAUUCCAUGUGUAGCGGUGAAAUGCGCAGAGAUAUGGAGGAACACCAGUGGCGAAGGCGACUUUCUGGUCUGUAACUGACGCUGAUGUGCGAAAGCGUGGGGGAUCAAACAGGAUUAGAUACCCUGGUAGUCCACGCCGUAAACGAUGAGUGCUAAGUGUGAGGGGGUGUUCCGCCCCUUAUGCUGCAGCUAACGCAUUAAGCACUCCGACUGAGGGGAGUACGACGGCAACGGUGGAAACUCACAUGAAGUAAUC
rnacentral:rRNA from 1 species